rnacentral:rRNA from 1 species
ACGCAGCAACGCCGCGUGGGGGAAGAAGGUCUUCGGAUUGUAAACCCCUUUCAGUUGGGACGAAGCUUCCAGGGUUAAUAGCGCUGUGGAGUGACGGUACCUUCAGAAGAAGCCCCGGCUAACUACGUGCCAGCAGCCGCGGUAAUACGUAGGGGGCAAGCGUUGUCCGGAAUCAUUGGGCGUAAAGCGCGUGUAGGCGGUUCGGUAAGUCCGCUGUGAAAGUCGGGGGCUCAACCCUCGGAUGCCGGUGGAUACUGUCGAGCUUGAGUACGGAAGAGGCGAGUGGAAUUCCUGGUGUAGCGGUGAAAUGCGCAGAUAUCAGGAGGAACACCAAUCGCGAAGGCAGCUCGCUGGGACGUUACUGACGCUGAGACGCGAAAGCGUGGGGAGCAAACAGGAUUAGAUACCCUGGUAGUCCACGCUGUAAACGAUGGGCACUAGGUGUGGGGGGUGUCGACUCCCUCCGUGCCGAAGCUAACGCAUUAAGUGCCCCGCCUGGGGAGUACGGCCGCAAGGCUA